GCCCGCUUCUCCGAACUGUCACCGUAUGGUGUGCGUGCCCGAAAGGGAUAGGAGAGCGGGUUUUC
rnacentral:ncRNA from 1 species